rnacentral:rRNA from 1 species
GAUGAACGCUGGCGGCGUGCCUAAUACAUGCAAGUCGAGCGAACGGACGAGAAGCUUGCUUCUCUGAUGUUAGCGGCGGACGGGUGAGUAACACGUGGAUAACCUACCUAUAAGACUGGGAUAACUUCGGGAAACCGGAGCUAAUACCGGAUGAUAUUUUGAACCGCAUGGUUCAAAAGUGAAAGACGGUCUUGCUGUCACUUAUAGAUGGAUCCGCGCUGCAUUAGCUAGUUGGUAAGGUAACGGCUUACCAAGGCAACGAUGCAUAGCCGACCUGAUAGGGUGAUCGGCCACACUAGAACUGCGACACGGUCCAGGCUCCUACGCGAGGCAGCAGUAGGGAAUCUUCCGCAAUGGGCGAAAGCCUGACGGAGCAACGCCGCGUGAGUGAUGAAGGUCUUCGGAUCGUAAAACUCUGUUAUUAGGGAAGAACAUAUGUGUAAGUAACUGUGCACAUCUUGACGGUACCUAAUCAGAAAGCCACGGCUAACUACGUG